ACGAACGCUGGCGGCGUGCUUAACACCUGCCAGUCGCACGGAAAGGCCCUGCUUUUGUGGGGUGCUCGAGUGGCGAACGGGUGAGUAACACGUGAGUAACCUGCCCUUGACUUUGGGAUAACUUCAGGAAACUGGGGCUAAUACCGGAUAGGAGCUCCUGCUGCAUGGUGGGGGUUGGAAAGUUUCGGCGGUUGGGGAUGGACUCGCGGCUUAUCAGCUUGUUGGUGGGGUAGUGGCUUACCAAGGCUUUGACGGGUAGCCGGCCUGAGAGGGUGACCGGCCACAUUGGGACUGAGAUACGGCCCAGACUCCUACGGGAGGCAGCAGUGGGGAAUAUUGCACAAUGGGCGGGAGCCUGAUGCAGCAACGCCGCGUGCGGGAUGACGGCCUUCGGGUUGUAAACCGCUUUCGCCUGUGACGAAGCGUGAGUGACGGUAAUGGGUAAAGAAGCACCGGCUAACUACGUG
rnacentral:rRNA from 1 species